UUAUUUAACGUUGUUGUUGCUAUUUGUCCAUAAUGUCCUGUCUGCAAGACGUGUAUUCGUUCUCAGUCGAACGAUAGCAUCAUACAAGCAUCUGGGAUUCGCAGGCGUGUCACACUAUGAAGAUUCUGGGGUCGACCCAGGUCGCGCCCUCUGUUUUAUACACCCUUAAACUUUUUAAAACCGAAACAUUCGCUACUGGUUCAACGGACUCGCAGCUUAAUCACCUGAACUAAUAGAAUGAACAGCAUUUGCGCUUACUACAGGACCUCACCGACCGUCACAAAGGACAGCUUCAAGAGCGGUUGCGUAAAGGUCAUUCGGUUGAUUGUCUGAUGCAUAACGGUAUACACCGGCUCGUGUCUGUUUGUCUGUACACAUGCUUAGACAACCCAUAGCAUCGCAACUAAUACAGAAAUGCCGGCUACUCCGUCAGGAAAAGUGAAAGCGUUGUAACUUCGGCUUAGACCCCCCAAAAAUCGCGCCUGCUAAUUCCACCAGCAGCCCAGACCUUAGCAGCAACACGGGCAACUUGCAACUCAGUACCACAUCAGUGCAUAUGGACCACGUACUAAGAUGUUAGGCCGAUAAUCUUCUCGAGUUUCGCCAGCAGGACCAAUCUAAUGGGUGCAGUAGCAACAACAAACUGGUGUUCGCUGCAGGUCAAACGCGAUGAGGCCAAUGGCCGAUGCCAUGUUAUCGACGUUCAGUCCAGCCAUCAUGUUGCUAUCGUCGUUGUUGCUGUCGGUGCAAGCUUACGAAUUUCUCUCCGCCUCUUGUAUCUCGAUUUUUCCUAAAAAUUCCCAGAUCCCGAACUGGUCGUUUAAUCUAAUCCUUCGUAACCUCCUUGUGGCCGCGCACUCUAAUAGAACGCCAUUUCAAACAAACGUCCAAACAGCAAAUACUCUAUGCAACACCCGAAUCGUUAGUGGCGAGCAUCAACAACGGUUAAGUAUGGAAAACCAGAAUCGCCUCGUUGACUCUGCGCAGCCUAGGCCGUUCAGCCUGAACAAACGACUAUUCACAAAUCUGUUAUUCCGGCUAACGAUUUAUAAUAUCCGCGACAUCAAAGAUAAUCAGAGC